rnacentral:rRNA from 1 species
CCUACGGGGGGCUGCAGUGGGGAAUAUUGGACAAUGGGGGGAACCCUGAUCCAGCCAUGCCGCGUGUGUGAAGAAGGCCCUCGGGUUGUAAAGCACUUUCAGUGAGGAAGAACGCCUGGUGGUUAAUACCCAUCAGGAAAGACAUCACUCACAGAAGAAGCACCGGCUAACUCCCGUGCCAGCAGCCGCGGUAAUACGGAGGGUGCGAGCGUUAAUCGGAAUUACUGGGCGUAAAGCGCGCGUAGGUGGCUUGAUAAGCCGGUUGUGAAAGCCCCGGGCUCAACCUGGGAACGGCAUCCGGAACUGUCAAGCUAGAGUGCAGGAGAGGAAGGUAGAAUUCCCGGUGUAGCGGUGAAAUGCGUAGAGAUCGGGAGGAAUACCAGUGGCGAAGGCGGCCUUCUGGACUGACACUGACACUGAGGUGCGAAAGCGUGGGUAGCAAACAGGAUUAGAUACCCUUGUAGUC